ensembl:snoRNA
AGCCUCCUGGUGCUUACCAUAUGCUGUGUUCUUACACUGUACAGAAAGGGAAGGCAGAGUAAUUAAACCGACCCUUAUUCACCCCAACCUAGGCCCUUUGCCUGGUCUGUGUUAUGAAUGGGGGACCUGG